GCCUGGGUGGCUCAGUCAGUUAAGCAUCUGACUUCAACUCAGGUCACAAUCUCACAGUUUGUGGGUUCAAGCCCCACAUCGGGCU
rnacentral:tRNA from 1 species